rnacentral:misc_RNA from 1 species
GAUGAAGAACGUAGCGAAAUGCGAUAAGUAAUGUGAAUUGCAGAAUUCAGUGAAUCAUCGAAUCUUUGAACGCACAUUGCGCCCGCCAGUAUUCUGGCGGGCAUGCCUGUUCGAGCGUCAUUUCAACCAUCAAGCCCCAGGCUUGUGUUGGGGGCCUGCAGCUGCUGCAGCCCCCUAAAAGCAGUGGCGGACUCGCUGUCAUACUGAGCGCAGUAGUUACAUCUCGCUCUGGGCAUGGCGGCGGGCACCUGCCGUAAAACACUCUUUCUAAGGUUGACCUCGGAUCAGGUAGGAAUACCCGCUGAACUUAAGCAUAUCAAUAAGCGGAGGA